UCAGGCUACAGAGCGAGAACCU
rnacentral:miRNA from 1 species